AUUGAACGCUGGCGGCAGGCCUAACACAUGCAAGUCGAACGAGUGGCGGACGGGUGAGGAAUGUCUGGGAAACUGCCUGAUGGAGGGGGAUAACUACUGGAAACGGUAGCUAAUACCGCAUACCAUCAGAUGUGCCAAGAUGGGAUUAGCUUGUUGGUGGGGUAACGGCCCACCAAGGCGACGAUCCCUAGCUGGUCUGAGAGGAUGACCAGCCGCACUGGGACUGAAGACCCGCCCAGACUCCUUCGGGAAGCAGCAGUAUGGAAUUUUCGGCAAUGGGCGGAAGUCUGACCGAGCAACGCCGCGUGAGUGAAAAAGGUUUUCGGGUCGUAAAGUCUUUUGUGAGAGAAGACGGUAACUGACCAGGAAGGGACGGCUAACUACGUGCCAGCAGCCGCGGUAAUAC
rnacentral:rRNA from 1 species